rnacentral:rRNA from 1 species
CCUACGGGAGGCAGCAGUGAGGAAUAUUGGUCAAUGGGCGCGAGCCUGAACCAGCAAAGCCGCGUGAGGGAAGAAGGUACAGCGUAUCGUAACCCUCUUUUGUCAGGGAACAAAGGCGGGGACUAGUCCCCGGAUGAGGGUACCUGAAGAAAAAGCAUCGGCUAACUCCGUGCCAGCAGCCGCGGUAAUACGGAGGAUGCGAGCGUUAUCCGGAUUUAUUGGGUUUAAGGGGUGCGCAGGCGGCCUGUUAAGUCAGCGGGAAACGCCCGGGGCUCAACACCGAUGAGCCGUUGAAACUGGCGGGCUGGAGUUGGAGAGAGGUACGCGGAAUGCGCGGUGUAGCGGUGAAAUGCUUAGAUAUCGCGCAGAACCCCGAUGGCGAAGGCAGCGUACCGGCUCCACACUGACGCUGAGGCACGAAAGCGUGGGGAGCGAACAGGAUUAGAUACCCGUGUAGUC